rnacentral:rRNA from 1 species
UACGUAGGGGGCAAGCGUUGUCCGGAAUCAUUGGGCGUAAAGAGCGCGUAGGCGGCCCGGUAAGUCCGCUGUGAAAGUCAAGGGCUCAACCCUUGAAUGCCGGUGGAUACUGUCGGGCUAGAGUCCGGAAGAGGCGAGUGGAAUUCCUGGUGUAGCGGUGAAAUGCGCAGAUAUCAGGAGGAACACCAAUGGCGAAGGCAGCUCGCUGGGACGGUACUGACGCUGAGGCGCGAAAGCGUGGGGAGCGAAACAGG